GAGGUGGGUUACAUCGGCUUUACUCCUAAGUUCUUAUUGGUCGACAUGUAUAGAUCUUGAUUUCGGUAAAUUGUGUUAGCUCAAAUUCAUGGACUAUAUGUAGAUUGUGAAAUCUGAAUUUUGGAGCAUGUUUUAUAAAUUAAGUAGAUUAUACAUGUUGGACUUGGAAAUUGAAUUAGGAGAAAACCUGCGAUUUGGACCUGUCACCAGUUUUAACUACCUGAUUUAGCUCUAGGAGCCGUUAGAAAAUUGUACUGUCGCAGUUUCUUCGAGACGAGUACUCCAGGUAGUUUAGAAUGUAUUUACACUCGUGCUGGUUCGCCGAGUGGAUUUUUACAGGGUCGUUCAGGUCGUUUCGGACUGUUGGGUGCCGUCAGAGUUGACGGUGGACCCGUAUCGCCUUUUUGGCGUCAGAUUGUGCCGAGGGCACGUUACCUGUUGGUUGUUAGACCAGUUUGAGUCGAUUACUUGACUUUGGCUAGUUGGAGCCUGAUUGAGCUCGACAGAGAUACGCUGCAUACUCGGUUGGGUAGCGCCCACGAGUGCCACUCCGGAGUCAGGCUUGUGCUUUUGCGUUGGUGUCGCUCAUGCCAGUUGGACUUGCUCUCCACGGACCAGUUAGAGUGGAUAGAGCCCGAUAGUCGCAACGGGGCAGGGACGGGUGUAUUCACAGUCCCGGGGACGGGUAUGCUUACAGUCCCGAUUGGAUUGGGUCAGAUUUGACAUUUCCUACAGUUGGUUAGUGUAGAGCAUGAUAGUGUAGUGGAUGAUAGCGGUAGAGUAUGCUUCCUGCUUUCCUUCUAUCCUUGCUCCCUUCUGUAGACUUAGUGGGUGACCGAUGUUGUUUUGGGCGGUACCCACUGAGGACUACUUGUUUUUACAGUAGUUCUCACGCCCAGUUGUUACCUAUGUUUUUGCAGAGCCACAGGUUCCGGCUGCUGCACCGUCUGCGGACCAGGAUCGAGGCAAGGGCGUCGCGAGUUAGAGCCCUACCCGACGUGCUGAGCUAGAGGUGCCCUACUGCAGGUAGAUGUUUUGUUUCGAGUUUAUGUACAUAGUUGACUUAACUCGCCAGUGCGAGUAGCUCUGUAUUUUAGAUCUGAACUAUGUAUAUGAAACUCUGUUUUAUUUAGCUUCAGUUUUCUCUAGCAGCUCUCUACUACUGUUCGUAGUAGUGUUUGAUUUACAAGUACAGCUAUCGCUUCGUAUACAGGAAAAAUUUUUUUGUAUACGGCGGAUUUGUCGGCGUGCCCGGGAAACGUGUAAUCCGGGACGUGACAAUAUAAUGGAGAGAGAAUGAAACAUUGGAUACCCAACGUUUCCAACAUCCCACUUAAUUCAUGCCUUUAUGUGGCAUAAAGAAGAAAUAAAUUUAAUUUAAUUAAUCUAAUUAAUUAACAUAAUAAAAGAUAAUAAAUGAGAAUAAUUAUAAAAUUAAAUGAUAUUUAGAGAUUUUGGAUUUUCUCCAACAAUUUGUUAUAGAAAUAUCCAACCUUAUAUAUUCAUUCAUCAUAGGUUUAAUAUCCGAUAUGGGACUAUUCUUAAUCUCGAGAUGUUAUAAAAGACUAUAUUUUUAAUAUCCGAUAUGGGACUAUUCUUAAUCUCGAGAUGUUAUAAAAGACUAUAUUUUUACUGGAUAGAAAGUAACAAUAGGAUAUUCAAAGGAAAUUCCAAUUGUAGUGUCACGCCCCGGAUUAUUCGUUUUUUCGAGCACGCCAACAGACUCGCCGUAUACAUAGAAAUUUUUCCUGUAUACGAAGCGAAGCCGUACUGAAUCUGUAAAUAAACAACACUACAACCAGUAGUAUAGAGCUGCUAGAAGAACCGGUAUAUAAUAAAAAUGGAUCAGUAGAUACACAGUAUCCUGAUACAAAGCACUUGCUCCAGCGAGUUAUAACAUCAGUAUGUAAUGAACCAAAAACUACAACUACCUGUAGCUGGUGCUCCACUAACUCGUCAGCUCGUCUGGUAGGGCUCUAAUUCGCAACGCCUUUGCCACGAUCAGUCUCAGAGAGUGCAACAGCCGGAAUAGCAGGCUCUGUAAAAGAGAGGUAACAACAGGGCGUGAGAACUACUGUAAAAAUAAGUAGUCCUCAAUGGGUGCCGCCCUCAAUAUCAUUGGUCCGCCCACUAAGUCUAUAGAAGUAAGCAGAGAUAGUAGAAAAUGCUGGAAUAAAUCUAUAGCUAAAUGCCACUACACUAUCAUGCUCUAAAACUAACUAUCUGUAGAAAAUAAAUUCUGACACAAUCUCACUAGGAACUGUAAGCAUACCCGUCCCAGGGACUGUAAACACACCCGUCCCGCAUGUUGAAGCUAAAGCUACCUCCACCACUAAGCAGUCCGUGGAAAGCAAGUCCAACCAGAACAUAACGACACCAACGCAAACGCGCAAAACCCGACUCCGGAGUGGCACUCGUGGGCGCUACCCAACCGAGUAUGCAAGCGUAUCUCUGUCGAGCUCAAUCAGAUUCUUGCAGGCUAUAGUCAAGUAAACAGGGUCUAACUGGUCUAACAACCGAAACACACGUGCUCUCGGCACAAUCUGAUACUACAUCAGUAAUCUGGGUCCACCGUCAACCUCAACAGCACCCAACAGUCCGGAACAGUCUGAACAGUAAAAGUAGGCUCGGCAUCCCAGCACGAGCGUAACUGCACUCUAAACUACCUGAGGUAUCCACCGCUCUGAAACUGCGAUGAUACAAUCGAACCACGGCUCCUAGAGCUAAAUAUGAUAGUUUAAGCAUAUGACGGGUAAAAUCGCGAUUUUCUCCUAAGUCUCAUCCAAGUCCAACAUGUAUAAAUGUUCUAAAAUUGCUACUUGAUGCUCCAAACUCAGAUUCUACAUAUAGGCAUGCAAUUCACAAGUUCGAGCUAAACAAACAAGAUAUACGAAGAUCAUCAAUACAUGCUGUCAACUAGGCUUAGAAGAGAAGUCCGAUGAUUAACCCACCUCGAAAGCUACUCCAAAACCGGCACGACGUCGAGAACGGCGGUAUCACACCCUCUCCCAGCCUCCCCGCGACGCUACUACGACGAACGUGCACUUGAACGGCACCGCGGCGCGACGUCGGCGACAAUCCAACACCACCCGAGCUCCUCCACCACGUACGAUCCAAGCUAGAGAGAGAGAGGAGAAUAAGAACAGUGAGAAGCUCCCUCUCAGCUCUCUCACACGUAUAAGGAGUGGGAGAGAGGGUGACACAAAUGAGGCAAGAAAAGACUAAUUUGCCCUCUCACCUACCCUGAUGUACCGGUAUAUGAGCGUUUGUACCGGUACAAAUGGCAACCCGAGUGCAGCUGCGCGGAAACAGGCGAAGUGUAUCGGUACACCCCCAAUGUUGUACCGGUACAGAAAAUGCACCGGUACACUUCUGAUGUUGUACUGGUACAACAAGCAGAAAAUCUGCAAUUUGCAGAUUCCAAAGCUAACUCCUGCUCUCGCGUCCCCACUGAGUUUGUUUUGCGUCUAUUUCGCGCCAAACGCAACUCGGACUUGUCCCGACACUCUCACGACGUGUCGAUAAGCCUCAACCGUUGUACACCAGGGAUACUACAUGUAGAGUCUUUUUACUUGAAAAAAAUCAAUCCUUUUGUAUCUCUAUAGGCUGAUAAUCUUAUCGCAGUUAAGAAAAAGAGAGAGUAUAUAUAGAUGGAGACUUAAAAGAAGAAAGAGUGUAUUGACAGCUCCACCAGAUUAUCAGCAACUGUAAAAUAAUAAGUAUUUUGAAUGUUGGCAGGAAAAGAAUUAAUGGGGAUAUAAUUAGCUUUUCACAAUAGUUUAAUUUUUUUCUAGUUUCAGCUGGAUUGUGAGCUAUCUAAUGGUAUGUUAUAUGUUGCGAUGUUGGAUAUAUACAUGUGGUUUGCCCUUUAUUUAUUUACUCUGUGUACGUUGUAGUAUGUAAUAGUUUGCAAAAAAAAUUGGUUGAGAGUAAUUUUAUCUUCAGUUUUUACUAUAUAAAUAUAUAUAUAAAACUAUGGUACUAUACUAUUAAUAGCACCAAGUAAUUGCUGCUAUUAAAUUUUUAGUCUUAGAUAAAAGGAUGUGUGAUUAGGAGAUAGUGGUCCUUUAGAUAUUGUUUGGUUUGGAUAUAAGAAAGAACUGUCAAUUUCAGAAAUAGGUAUAAAUUCAAGUAUAAGUAAGAAUUAGACCAAUUUUGUGUUUGGUUGAAAAAUGGAUUGUUCCCGGAGAUAAGAAAAAUAACGUUUGGAUAGAUAAGAUAAAAUAAAAAGAAGAGUGGAUAGUUAAAUAAAAAAUAAUAAUUUUACCACUCUCAUUAUAUUUGAAUUUGAAUUUUCAAAUUUUAUAUUUAUAUUUUUUAGUUUAAAAUUUUAACAUUUAAAUUUCAAAUUUUGAAACUAAAAUUCAAAAUUUAAAAUCUCAAACUUUAAAUUCAAAAUCAUAAAUUUUAAAUUCCAAACUUUAUAUUUAAGAUCAAAUUUAAAUUUAAAAAUAUAAAAUAUAAAAUUUUAAAUUUUAAAAAUUUAAAAUAUUAAAAUUUAAAUUUAAAUUUUAAAAUUUAGAAUCUAAGAUUAUAAACUUUAAUUUAGAGAUUACAAAAUAUAAAUUUUAAAAAUUUAAAUUUAAAUUUUUAAAUUUUAAAAUUUAAAAAUUUUAUGUAGUGUUUCUGAGCUUUGGAUAGGAUUNAAUUUAAAAUUAUAAACUUUAAUUUUGAGAUUACAAAUUAUAAAUUUUAAAAAUUUAAAGUUUAAAUUUUAAAAUAAGAAUAGGGGUGGCAACAAUUAAUACAAAUAAUUUAUUAUAAUAUUUAAAUAUAAUUUAUUAUAAUAUUUAAAUAUAAAUGAUACGUACUAAUAUAUUGCAUUUAAUAAUUUUAUUAUAAAAAUAAUAUAUUAUAAUAUAUAACAUAUUAUAUUUAUAUAAUUUAUUUUUAAUUUAAUUUAUAAUUUUAAUAAAGUUUGAAAUUAAAAUUAGAAUAGCAGUAUUCUACCAAUGGUGAAAUAGUAAAUUUCAAACUAUUUCGGGAUAGCCGAGAAUAGCAGGGUUUGACCGGAAUAAAAUAUUCCGGCCAAAAAUCAUCCCGUUUGGUAGAAUAGCGGAGAUAAUUUUUGUAGUAUCCUAGGGAUUUGUUGCCCGUGAGAUUUUAGCAUCUGAGACUUGUGGACACAUCUAGAGAGUGUUGAGACAAGUCCGAGUCGUUUGGGCGCGAAAUGGACGCAAUACGGACUCAGUGCGAUGCGAGAGCAGAGUCGUGGCACAGAAAUCUGCAAAGUGCAUGUUUCAGAAUUUAGUACCGGUACCACGCAGGGGAGUACCGGUACCCCAGUGCGUUGGCAGAACAGUCUGCUCUCGGGUUGCGCCUAACUGAUGCUGAGUACCGGUACUGCAUCGGGUCAGUACAGGUACCGAGGCCGAGUACCGGUACUGCAUCGGAUGAGUACCAGUACCCAAUGUGCGAAGCUGCGGGCUGAAAGCCCGAGUACCGGUAACCAAAUCUGGUACCGGUACUCUAGUUGGACUUUUGAGUCGGUAAAGGGCAUCUCGGUCUCACCCACCUCUUUAUAUGCUCACAGAGAGAGAGAGUUUGUGAGUCCUUCUCCAUUCCUUCUCUCUUUCGUUGGUGGACCCGUACGUGCUGGAGGACGCGGUUUGAGCUCGGAUCGACGUCAACGUUGCGCCGGAGAGCCGUUCGAGCGAGUAGGCGUCGCGGUUGCGUCGUUGGAGGCUGGGCGAGCGCGGGUUUUCCAUUUUUUUCGACUUCUUGCUGUUGUUGGACGAGCGUUUUGAGGUGGGUUGAAGUUUACCAAAAUCGUCGGAUUUCUUCCUAAGCCUAGUUGUUGUCAGCAUGUAAACUUCAUGUAUAGUAUUAUGUUAUAUGCUCGAUUCGCCGAUUUGCAUGGUUUUUAUGUGGAAUCUGAAUUGGUGCUUCUUUAAAUACUAGAAUUAUUUUCAUGUUGGACUUGGAAUUGACUUAGGACAAAACUAUUGAAUUUACACUAUCAUUUCUGAAAACUACUAGAUUUUGUUUUAGGAGCUGUAGUUUACUUAUAUCGUCACUGUUUGUAGGCGGUGGAUACCCAAAAUAGUGUAGGAUGAGUUUACGCUCGAGCUGGGAUGCCGAGUUUAUUUUACAGUAGUAUGUAGACUGUUUUGAACUGUUGGGUGCUGACUCGGUUCACGGUGGACUCAGAUUUCUGUUUUGCAUCAGAUUGUGUCAGGGGCAAUUGUGAGUUGGUUGGUAGACCAGUUAGACAUUUUUCUUUGACUAUAGCCUGUGAGAGUUUGAUUGAGCUCGACAGAGACACGCUUGCAUACUCGGUUGGGUAGCGCCCCGGAGUGCCACUCCGAAGUCGGGUUUUGUGCGUUCGCGUAGCUGUCGUAGGGUCCGGUGGGACUUGCUCUUCACCAACUACCUAGUGUGGAGGUGGUUGGUGACGCUUUAGCAGGUAGGACGGGUACGUUCACAGUCCUUAGUGAGAUUGGGUUAUAGAUUGCAUGUUGCCUAUAUCUACAGAUAGCUAUUGUUGAUUAGCGAUAGUAUAGUGUGUAAGUUUUAAGGAGCCCAAAGAUCUAUCUAGAUUGUAUCAAACACCUAGAGGGGGGUAAAUAGGUGUAAAAGCCAAAAAUCGCAAAUCUCAAUGCGAUAAAAAUAAAUGCGAAAAAUAAAAAUCACACCGAGAUUUACGUGAAAAAACUCCAACUUGGAGUAAAAAACCCACGGGACCAACACGUAAAAAAAUAAUUCACUAAGAGAAAAUAUUACAAGGUGAUUACCGACUCUACGGACUCGACCUCUCUUGACCUCCUAUGAAUCUUCGCGCUACCCUCCGGGUUGUCCACGCCCUCACGUUCGAAUCCACGAACGCUACAUUCCGAAUCCACGAAACGCCUCCACUUCGAAUCCACGAAGCUUUCGAUCCGAAUCCUCGAACCGCCUUCAAUCACACCGAAUCCACAACGCUAUCCAUGAAGAACAUCAUGAAUAUGGUAAUCCCUCGCUUAGAGUAUCGAUGAAAACCAGAGAAGAGAACUCUAAGCGAAGAGUAGAUCAAAUCGACAUAUAGAUAUCACAUUACAAUAUCUCGAUUUGACCUAGAAGAGGCUUCUUUGUAGAAAAUAGGUUUUUGACGAAAAACAAGCCUUCAGGGUUUCUCAAACAUGAAUUCUCGUGAUGCUUCAUCAGUUAGAGAACCCCAAUAGCUUAUUUAUAGACUUUAGAAUCAAUUGGAGUCGGAUUAGAAAGUUUUCGGAUUUUUUACAUUGUGUACCGGUACAAAAUUAAGGUGUUACCUGUUACACGAUGACAGAACAGAAAACAAUAAGCCUCGAAACCGGUUACAUGUUGAUGGUUGUACCGGAACAUGUUUUGUACCGGUACACUUCCGAUGUUGUAUCGGUACACAGUGCAUUUUCCAGAAUUUGCACUGUUUCGGGUUUCACAUAGCUCCGAGGCACUUUCUAAUCCAUUAAACUUUGAUAUUCAUGAUUCUAACAUCUAUAACUAAGUAUAAAUCACCAUAACAUGAAAUAAAACUUUACCUGAGUAUCGUGAUUCACGUCGUGUCACGCCCCGGAGUGCACAGUCCCCCGGGCACGCCGACAAAUCCGCCGUAUACAAGAGAAUUUCUCCGGUAUACGAAGCGUAGCUGUACCUGUAUAAACAUACAAUACUACAAGCAGUAGUAUAGAGCUGAAGUAAACUAUAAACAAGAAGGUAGAAAUAACAAACUUUAAGCAUACAACAGCCACGGAUAUAAAAGAACACUACUCGCUCCAGCGAGUUCAACUGUAAGAACAAAAGCGCCCGAACAAAAACUGUCACUACCUGCAGCGGGAGUCCUCUAGCACUGUACUCGAAGGGCAGGCUCUAGCUCGCCACGCCUUUCCCGCGGUCCGCCUCAGAAGGAGCAGCAGCCGAAACAGAAGGCCCUGCAACAACGGUGGAAGAAAGAGGGCGUGAGAACUACUAUAAAAACAAGUAGUCCUCAGUGGGUGCCGUCCUAAACAACAUCGGUCCACCCACUAAGUCUACAGGGUAAGCAAGAUAGAAGAAAAUGAAGCUGGAAACUCUCUACAGCUACAAGUCGCUAUGCUAUCAUGCCCAGAACUAACACCUAUAGACUCAAGUCAACCAGACCCAAUCUGAAGGGGACCGCGAACGCACCCGUCCCUGGGACUGUGAACGCACCCGUCCCGUGCCCGGUUGUGACUGCACAGCUACCCCCACUCUAAACCUCAGUGGAGAGCAAGUCUAACCUGCACUACCCGACACCGACGCGAAAGCACAAAGCCUAACUCCGGAGUGGCACUCGGGGGAGCUACCCAGCCGAGUAUGCAGCGUAGCUCUGUCGAGCUCAAUCAGGCCCUAACCAGCCAAACCCAAGUAACCAAAACAGACUUUGGGGCCCACCGCCUGCCCCGACGGCGCCCGACACCCCGUAACAGUCUACACUCAGCUAGUAUAAGCUCGGCGUCCCAGCACGAGCACAAACACAAGCUACACUACCCUGGGUAUCCAUCGCACAUAGCCCGCGACGAUACAAUGCAACAUGGCUCCUAGAGCUAAAUCCGGCAGUGUAUGUAAAUGACGAUCAACUCGGGAUUUUCUCCUAAGUCAAAUCCAAGUCCAACAAGUAUCAAUUAUCAUUACUCACUAAGCAUGCUCCCAAUUCAGGUUUUUAAUAUACUAAUCCAUGAAUUUGAGCUACCUCGUUUAGUGUUCAACGAACAAAGCAUACAAGUCGACUAAUAUGUACUUAGAGGCAAAACCGAUGAACCCACCUCUCUCAAGCAACUCCUGGCAGCGAAGAAAGUGGCCCGGAUUCAAAUUGAUCCCUCGCUGGUCCGUCGAAGUCCCCGGUUCCCCUGCUGCGAAGAGGUAAACCCAAUUACACUCAAAAUCACAAAAUCUGCCCAGAAAACAGCAGCGAAGAAAGCGUUAAAUCCGACCAAGCUAACCUUAUCCAAAUUCAGCAAACAAGGGUUCUGAAGCUUCGUCUCGAAGUCACGGAUCCAAUGGCCCAGGUUUCGCUGAAUUCCGACGCUCCUACGCAGAGAACGGGCCAGAAUACGAAACGUCGACGCUGGAACCUGCGAAACAGUAUCUCUGAAAUCUGCUCGGCAAACAGCAGCCUAGUAAAACUAGGGUUCGACAGGGCAAACCUGCUCCAAAAAUCACGAUCUUGGGCUCAGAAUCUUCGUCUCAAAGUCGCGAAUCUAGCACGCCAAAUUUCGUCGCGUUCCGACACUCCUACACAGAGAACUAGGUAAAACACGGCGGGUCGAUGCUGGAAUCAGCAAUCAGCACUUCAGAGUCUGCUCGGCAAACAGCAACUCAGUAAAAAGGGAUUUCGACAGAGCAAACCUUCUCCAAAUCGGGCGAGUAAGGAUCCUAUGAAUUCGUCUCGAAGUCUCGGUUCCAACGAAUCAAACCGCGUCACGUUCCGAUGCUCCUGCGCGGAAUACGAGUCAAAGCUCUGCGGGUCGACGCUGGAAUCAACAGCAGCAGCAGUGCAGUUCGAAAAUCGUAGAAGUUUAAAGCCAAAAAAAAAAAAGCGAUCUCGAGGAACCACUCACCUCGACAAACCCUCCCUGCGAGCAGCACCUCGUCGAAAACUCGCUCGAUCCGCUACGCGGCGCGUCGUCGACGAAGCUCGAGCUUCUCUUGAGCUCCUCCAACACUCUAGGUUGCUAAGGGAAGUAAAAGGAGAGGAAGAAGAAGCACAGCAACAGCAGCAGCAUGAAGGAGCUCCCCUCUCUCUCUCCUCUCUGCUCCAAGAUAAGGGUUAAAGGGGGGUGAUGUGACAAGAUGGCCAAAAAGUCAACUUGCACCCUGCUUCCACUUUGUACCGGUACAGCUCACUGAAAAUCUGCUAUUUCGCAGAUCUUCAAGAUACCCGCUGCUCUCAAGUUCCCACAAGGCCCGUUUGGCGUCCACUUCGCGCCAACGCGACCCGGACUUGUCCUGACACUCUCCAGAGCUGUCGACAAGCCUCAGCUAAAAUUCUAGGUCUCUACACGUCGUGAGAUAUUUCAGCUUUCCUCGAAAUCUUGGAUUCUUCGUUCUUCGACGAUACGCAUCGAUCCUUCAAGAUUUCGACUCAAUUCACGAAACUUGCCAACACACAAGACUUAACAUAGUGGCAUGUAGCUGUAGAGUUUUUCAGCUUCCUUUACUAUCUUUGAGCAUACUUUCUGUAGACUUAGCGGGUGAGCCGUUUAGGUCUGUAGCGCUACCAACUGAGGACUACUUCUUUUUGCAGUAGUUCUCACACCCAGUUGUUGACCCCUUUUUGCAAAGCCUUCGUCUUCGGCUGCUGGUGGUGCUGAUAUAGAUAGUGGAAAGGGAGUCGCGAGCUAGAUCCCUUCCAGACGUGUUUCAGAGCUAGAGGAGUUCCUCCCACAGGUAGUUUUUGGGUCAUUCGGUGUUCUUGUACAUACCUAUGUCUGUUGGCUCGCUGGAGCGAAUGGUGUCUGUAUUUUGGACUGUGUAUGUAUAGUGAACCUGGUUUUUAUUAUAUAUAUUUCUUUUAGCAGCUCUCUACCUUGUGGUUGUAGCUUGAUUGUGUUUACAGGUACAGUUAUCGCUUCGUAUACUAGAAAAUUUCUAAGUAUACGGCGAAUCUGUUGGCGUGCCCAAGGAAACGAGUAAUCCGGGGCGUGACAAUUUUUGUUAUUCCCACUUAUAUCCCAAACCAAAUGGGUUAGGGUUGAGUGGAUGGUUGGUUAAAUAGUAUGAUCUAAUAGAUGAAAAUAAUCAAAGAGGUAGAUCUAAUAGUGGAAAAUUUGAUAGCACCAAGCGCUUUAUGCUAUUGAUAGUAUAGUAAUUGGAUUCUCUCUCUCUUUCUCUCUCUCAUUGAUGCUAUUAGAUUUUCAAUCCUUGGAUGAUGGGAUGUGCGAUUAGAAUGACAGUGGUCCCCUCGGAUUGAGUGGAUGGUUGAUUGAAUAGUGCGAUGUCACGCCCUGGAUUACCGGGGAAACCAGAUUACCACGUUUCCUCGGACACGCCAAAAGACCUGUCGUAUACAUAGAAAUUUUUCGUGUAUAUGAAGAGAUAACUAUACCUGUAGAUAGAAUAUAGCUACACCAGAGGUAAAGAGCUGCUAUAACUAAAACAUGUAUAAAAACAUAGAGGGUCCACUAUACAUACAAAAGCCACGGAACAACCUCGCUCCAGCGAGUACAAUGACAUAACGGUAUGUACAUACAAACCCCAAAACUACCUCAGCAUGGUACUCCUCUAACAUAGCAACCAAGGAUGGUAGGGAUCUAGCUCGCGACUCCCUUAUCGCGGUUGAAAUCAGCAACAACAGCAGCAGCGGACGGCCCUGCAAAAAAAAAAGUGGCAACAACAGGGUGUGAGAACUACUACAAAAUAGAAUAGCCCUCAGUGGGUACCGUCACCGACCUUAACGGCCCAUCCACUAAGUCUACAGUACAAGUAAGACAAAAGUAGGUACAGGAUAGUAAGAAAGAUGAAAGAAACUCUAAAACUAUAUGCCACUAUGUUACCGCUAUUCAACCCAGACUCACUGUAGAUACAAAAAUACAUCACUAGCUACAUACUGACCUAAUCUCGAGGGACUGCCAACUGUCCCCAAUUUCGUAAAUUUAUUAUUGUAAACAUCACAUACACCUUUAAUUAUUAAAUUCUUUUCUCCAAUAACACUCUACUCAAAUACUUUGGGUGCUUAUCAAAUUUAAGAAGUAAAACUGUACAAAAGGGUUAAAAAAUCAAGAUGUUUAUCAAGUACAUUUACACUCAAAAAAUUCUCGGUUGGGACUUUCAUGAAAGAACAAUGCAACUGAGGGACGUUUUUUUAGUAGUUUAGAGACCUGUAUGGAAAUUACCCUAGAUGUCUUUUUCUGCAUAAUGUUGCAUGCUAAUGACAUUAUUAAUUUAUUUCGUUGUUUUUUUUAAUCUUUGAUUAGCGGUGGGAGUUCAUGUUGCCAGGUGACAGAAAAGUGAGUUCAAUACUAAAUUUCAGGAAAAAUUGCUCAAUGAUGAUUAUUAUCAAGAUGAACUGGCAAUGAAAAUAAGCAUGCGUAAUAACUUCUAAUGAAGAAAUAUGAUCAGGGUUUCGAGUUUGGGUAUAUGACAAGAGUAGAUGUUAUGAAUUACUUUAGACAAUAAAUAUUUAUGUCAACAGUGCGCUUCUAUGUUUAGCCUUUGUCUAUGUUUAUCGUUUGUUUGUUAAUAACAUGAGUUCAAAGGGGCUUGUGGGAAAUAUCAAGGAAGAUUCUUUUUUUCUUUUUCUUUUUUUUCUCCCUUUUCUUUCCCCUCGUCAUCGGGAGUGAGGUGUCCUCAACCAAUUUAUGCUAUGGAGCCAAAUCCGAGGAAUCCCUUUCCAUGGCUUCCUUUUAUUUUCUCCUAAUAUCUCGACAUGUUGUUUCAUUUUUGCGUUACUAACCGAUUACGAUGUGCAGGUCGACUCGAAGCGACGGAGAAGGUGACAUUUCUAGAGUAUUCAUCUUGCGCCGUCGUGAUGUAUAGAGUUAUGUAGUUCUCCGACACGGUGUACAUAACAUAGGGUACUUAAGUACACUGUUCCCGUUUGGUUCGGGUAUAAGCAAGAACUAGCUAUUACAGGGAUAGGUAUAAGUAUGAGGAUAAGAAAAAUAGUGUUUGGAUGAAAAUUGGAUUGUUCGGGGAUAAGAACAAUUUUAGAUAGUUUUAUAUAAAAAAUGGAGGUGUUGGUGGGAAUAACCGAGAACUACUAUUCUCAGGUAAAAAAUUAGCGUUUGGGUAUAAAGAGAGGAUAAGGGCCUAUUCCUAUCGCUAUCUCCUAACCAAACGCUUUAAUGUACAUCAGAGUAGUAGAUGGGGAAGGGUGCACCAAAUAUACAUGUAUAUACUGCUGGUUAUGUUCUAUCACUUUAUGCGUAUGCUGCGGACUGCUUGCGGUUGCUUGUUUAAUGACACUAGCUAAUAAUACUGACUGCAGUAACUCAUCUUGGGUUUGAGAAGUAUUUCAUUUCCUUUCUAUCGUUUCAUAAUAAAUCAUUAGAGCUAGAGAUGUGUGGGUUCUCUCGCAUUUUGAGCACGUUUGACUAGGACCUCGUUUCUUAUUGGGGAUAAUAAGAAAGAUUUUUAUUUUUAAUGGAGUUGCAGCAUUUUUUGAUGUAUUAUCUCUGUUUUAAAAAACUAAUAUGCAUGGAGAAUCAAAGAAAGGGCGAGGAGGGAGACGAACCGUGAGCGGCAGUGGAAAAAUUAAGGAUAUUUUGUUUAGUUUAUUAAAAUUUUAUGUCGAAUCUGCAAAUUCUAUAAUGUCGGUUAGUUUUUAUAAAAAUAAGAAACAAUGUGCAACGGUGAAAGCUACACGGAUGAUUAAGAUAAAGAAAAACAAUGACAGGCGGAAGGAGAAAAAAAUAUUUAUAUAACGAUCCGAUUUGCUAGUAAUAAUAAUUCGUUGGACCCGAUCUAUCGCAAAAUGUUUAAGCCCAGUUAUUAUUACUAGCGUGUGAGGUCUCAUAUAUUCUAAUUACAAAUUCUCCUGUUUAGUUCAUGACGUUCUCGCCAGAUCCAAACCCAAAUAACAGACAUUACCAAGUCAUUACUAAAUCCGUUGGUGUAGCACUUUGUACCGCAUAUCUCACUUAGCUUUUACACUUCCGGCUGGUAUUUGGCUCUGGUACCAAGUGUAACGACUCAACCCGCUAGUAAUAAUAACUCGUUGGACCUGAACCAUUAGCCCAAAAUACUUAAAUCCAGUUAUUAUUACUAGCGUGUGAGGCCUCAUAUAUUCUAAUCAGAAUUGUUUUUCCAUCUAAUGUGGUCAUAGCUGUGGAACUAGGUCCGGGCCUAAACAAGGCUUGACCCUAUGAGCCAUAUUUGGGCCGGGCUUCGGAUAUUAAAAAUAUAACUUUGGGUUCAGGCCGGGCUUAAAUAUUUAGGCCCGAAAAAAUUUUGGGCCUAUUUGGGCAUGUUCAAGCCCGACCUAAACCCGACCCAAAAUCUUGAUAUAUUAAUUAUCAAAAUAAAAUAUUUAAUUUUAUAUAUAUAUAUAUAUAUAUAUAUUAAUAAUAAUAUAUAUUUAUAUAUAUGAGGAUAUAUUAUAUAUUAACAAAAUAUUUAGUUCCAUAUUACGAUAUAUUAAAUAGUAUUAUUAUAUAUAUAUAUAUAUAUAAUUAAUAGAUAUAUGAGGAUAUAUUAUAUAUUAACAAAAUAUUUAGUUCCAUUUUACGAUAUAUUAAAUAGUAUUAUUAUAUGUAUUUAAUUAUCUAUGAGUAAACAUAUGAUAUAUAUUAUUAUAUAUACCUAAUUAGUUAUGUACAUAACACUUGUUAAAUAUAUAUUAUUUUAAAAUUUUUAAAAAAAUUAAUUAGACGUUAUAUGUACAUAACUUAAGGAUAAUUUUAAAAUUUUAAAAUACCACAAUGCUCUUUUAAAAAUGUAUAUAUGCCCUAAUUAAUUAAACAUUCUACCCACCCUCAUGUGAGAAGUUUCUAUCCUAUUAUUUACUUUGUAGGAUUGUUAGCAUCAGAGUAGGAGUGAAGAUGGCUGAAGCACAUAUUCUAUUUGUCUAAAUCUUAGUUUUAGUUUAUUUAUUUAUUUUGUUUGGUCUUAUUUCAUUGAUGGAUAAUUAUUGGUAGAUAUUAAUGGCAUUAUAUUUGAUGUUAGAUAUUAAUUUCUUUGAUGUGUUCAAACUCCAGUAAAUAUAUAAUCUAAUUUAAAACUUUCAAAACUACAUUCUUAAUGGAGUCAAAAAUUUUCCUGUAAACAAAAGCAAGGAAAUAUGGCCCUAAGGCCAAUUUAUCGCCGUUAGAUGGCGAUCGGAACAAAAUCUCGGUUAAUUUUCUGCGAACGAGUGCAGAAAAGAUUGUGAUAUAACUAGUAUAGAAGGAACGCCGUGUGUUCCUUCCUGGUGACCGGGGCAGGGGUACUUGUGAGAUCCCUGGUGUUUGACUGUGGAAGCUUGUCGACAGCUCUGGAGAGUGUCGGGACAAGCCCGAGUCGCGUUGGCGUCAAAUAGACGUAAAACGGACUCCGUCGGACGCGAGAGCAGCCUUCAGCGAAGAAAAAUCUGCGAAAUAGCAGAUUUUCCUGCUUGUUGUACCGGUACAGCCAUCAUGGCGUACCGGUACACUAUACUGAUGCCGCGUAAUCUGCUCUCGGGUUGCUUCCUGUACCGGUACGCAAUCCCGUGUACCGGUACACCAGGGUAGGUGAGAGGGUGUUUUGGUCUUUUCUCUCCCUCGUUUGUAUCACCAAGCCUCUCUCUCUCUAUUUAGCCUUGUGAGGACAGAGAGAGGGAGUUCCUCUGUUGCUACUUCCUCUCUCUCACUCUCCAACAGAUCUUAGGCUAGGGAGGAGCACGGUUGAGCCGGGGAUUCGCCGACGUCGCACCGCGAGCCGUUCGAGCGAGCGUUUGUUGCCGGGGCAUUGCGAAGAGGCCGGGCGAGGGUGCGUCUUCGCCGUCCUGGACAUCGCGCCGAGGAUUGUCGCUGUNNNNNNNNNNNNNNNNNNNNNNNNNACGGGUGUGUUCACAGUCCCAGGGACGGGUAUGUCUACAGUCCCGAUUGGAUUGGGUCAGAUUUGACAUUUCCUACAGUUGGUUAGUGUAGAGCAUGAUAGUAUAGUGAUUUGUAGCGGUUGAGUUUGUUUCCUGCUUUUCCUACUAUUCUUGCUCCCUCCUGUAGACUUAGUGGGUGGACCGAUGUUGUUUUGGGCGGUACCCACUGAGGACUACUUAUUUUUAUAGUAGUUCUCACGCCCAGUUGUUACCCCUGUUUUGCAGAGCCACAGGUUUCGGCUACUGCGCCUUCCGCAGAUCAGGAUCGAGGCAAAGGCGUCGCGAGUUAGAGCCCUACCCGACGUGCUGAGCUAGAGGUGCCCCUACUGCAGGUAGAUGUUUUGUUCGAGUUUAUGUACAUAGUGGACCUAACUCGCCAGUGCGAGUAGCUUUGUAUAUUGGAUUUGGACUAUGUAUAUGAAACUCAGUUGGUUUAGUUUCUGUUUCUCUAGCAGCUCCCUACUACUAUUCGUAGUAGUGUUUGAUUUACAGGUACAGCUAUCGCUUCGUAUACAGGGGAAAUUCCUUUGUAUACGGCGGAUUUGUCGGCGUGCCCGGGGAAAGUGUAAUCCGGGGCGUGACAGUACUGCAAACUUUCGAAGAAAUUUAGAAUAAGCCAAGUCAUUUAGAUCAAGGUGUGCCUCAAAAUCAGACACACCAUCAGGAUUGUAGGUCAUAGAGAAGGAAACGCCAUGAGGGCGUAAGCCUACAAUGGCGGCUACAUCAAAAAGAGUGGGGGUAAGAGGCCCUCUUUUGAAAAGAAAAACAUUAGAAACAGGGGACCAGAAACAAAGAGCGGCAGCUAGAAGAAGAUUAUCGGCUAUAGGAGGGUGCUGAGAUAAUUGAAUUGCUUCAUAAAUGCCGAUUUCCCGCCAAAAGGCGCCAAAAACGGGUUCUACUCUAUCUAACCAGGCCAAAUAUGCUUCGGAAACGCUUGGCCAAGUUCUAAGACUCUUUCCUCUCGAAGCUGAUGAGUACCAAGAGUGGAGAUGAAUAAUCCUCUUCAAAGGAAGUCCCUUAUCAGAGAAAGGAGAGUCAGUAGGAGAUGGUGCAUCUAUAAGAGAAUGACCUAAUAUGAAUCUAGAUGGAUCUAAGUCAACGAAAGGUUUGAGUACAGUAUAGUCAAGAGAUGGAUGAGAAGGAAGAGGAGGAACCAAAGACAUCGUUCAAAAGAAGAGAAGAGCCGAGAGAGUCGGUUACGAAAAGCAAAGAAGAAUGAAGGAGACUAAGAAGAGGUUUUAGUAAAGAAGACGAAGAAAAGGAACAAGAAUUAGAAGAGACAAAAAGAAUGGAAAGCUUGGGGAAGAAGAAGAGGCCGUUGUAUUGAAUUGACGCAUCGAUUACGAGUCCCAAGAUCGGCUAUAAUUGUAGUAUCCUUAUUUCUUUAUCUUUUCUUUUCCUUUUUCUUUUUAUUUCUUUUGAGUUGGUAAGCAUGCUGGGGAUAAGGAUGCCACGUGCACCUUACCCCCAAGCAUGCUUAUCACCUUAAUACUUGUGCAUAGUUUAUAUAUAAUUCUUGAGCCUCUACGCAUAUAGUUCUUGAGCCGUACGUAGAGGAGGAGCUCAGGUGGUGUGGAGUUUCGUCGACGUCGCGCAGCGGUGCCGUUCGAGCGUGUGUUCGUCGUCGUAGCAUCGCGAGGGGGGCCGGGCGAGGGUCCGAUUCUGCCGUUUUUGUUGUCGCGCCGGAUUGUGAUUAGCGUUUGAGGUGGGUUACAUCGGUUUUACUCCUAAGUUCUUAUUGGUCGACAUGUAUAGAUCUUGAUUUCGGUCAUUAAUUUAGCUCAAAUUCAUGGACUAUAUGUAGAUUGUGAAAUCUGAAUUUUGGAGCAUAUUUUAUAAAUUAAGUAGAUCAUACAUAUUGGACUUGGAAAUUGAAUUAGGAGAAAACCUACGAUUUGGACCUGUCACCAGUUUUAACUACCUGAUUUAGCUCUAGGAGCCGUUAGAAAAUUGUACUGUCGCAGUUAUUCGAGACGAGUACUCCAGGUAGUUUAGAAUGUAUUUACACUCGUGCUCGUCCGCCGAGUGGAUUUUUACAGGGUCGUUCAGGUUGUUUCGGACUGUUGGGUGCCGUCAGAGUUGACGGUGGACCCGUAUCGCCUUUUUGGGCGUCAGAUUGUGCCGAGGGCACUUACCUGUUGGUUGUUAGACCAUUUUGAGUCGAUUACUUGACUUUGGCUAGUUGGAGCCUGUUUGAGCUCGACAGAGAUACGCUGCAUACUCGGUUGGGUAGCGCCCACGAGUGCCACUCCGGAGUCAGGCUUGUGCUUUCGCGUUGGUGUCGCUCAUGCCAGUUGGACUUGCUCUCCACGGACCAGUUGGUGUGGAGGUAGCUGGAUAGUCGCAACGGGGCAGGGACGGGUGUGUUCACAGUCCCAGGGACGGGUAUGUUUAUAGUCCCGAUUGGAUUGGGUCAGAUUGACAUUUUCUACAGUUGGUUAGUGUAGAGCAUGAUAGUGUAGUGAUUGAUAGCGGUAGAGCGUACUUCCUGCUUUUCCUACUAUUCUUGCUCCCUUCUGUAGACUUAGUGGGUGACCGAUGUUGUUUUGGGCGGUACCCACUGAGGACUACUUGUUUUUACAGUAGUUCUCACGCCCAGUUGUUACUCUUGUUUUGCAGAGCCAUAGGUUUCGGCUGCUGCGCCUUCCGCGGAUCAGGAUCGAGGCAAGGGCGUCGCGAGUUAGAGCCCUACCUGACGAGCAGAGUUAGAGGCACCCCUACUGCAGGUAGAUGUUUUGUUUCGAGUUUAUGUACAUAGUUUACCUAACUCGCCAGUGCGAGUAACUCUGUAUUUUGGAUUUGAGCUAUGUAUAUGAAACUCAAUUUGUUUAGCUUUUGUUUUCUCUAGCAGCUCUAUACUACUGUUUGUAGUAUUGUAUGUUUACAGGUACAGCUGUCGCUUCGUGUACAGAGAAAACUCCUUUGUAUACGGCGGGUUUGUCGGCGUGCCCGGGGAACGAGACAUCCGGGGCGUGACAAUAAUGAUGAAUAGACAGCGGCAAUUAAGAUGAUUUAAUUACUGCCGCACACGAGACAAAAGUAGAGAAUACGAUUAGGGCCGUAAAGAAGAGAAUAAACGGCUUAGAUUAAACCGUACAGAAGAUCGUGGCGCAGAAUACGUCAGAGAAUUUGAAUUUGAUUGGACCGGAAAAUACGCCUCGGAUUAAGCUCAUUUUCGGCAACAGAAAAUUGUUUGAGAUAAAAAGGUAACGCCAGCUACUGAAGCAUCGCUUCGAAAACUGGCGAGGGGGCAAUUAUUGAGCUAGUUAGGCGCGAACAGCUGGCACGCCGGGUUCAUAUCCGAAAGACGGCUAAAACAGUAGACCUAUAGUACACCGGACGCACACGAGCCGCACUGGAUCGAGGAGUUAUAGCAACCGCAAGCAGUUACGAGCGGUUCCGAUCGGUCGAAGGUGGUCCUACGAAUCAGGAGAUAGUGGCUGAUCGUGCAAGAGCAAUAACUAACGCAAGGGCGGUAUAAAUAGGGAUACGAUACCCUGAAAAAAUGUCAUCGCCCCUGCGCACAAAAGACCACCUUUAUUUUUCUACAUCUUCCUUUCCUGCAUUUACUGCUUUCCAUAGGAGUAGCUCUCGUAACUUAGCAUUCUUGGAGUCUGUCUGCCCUAUGGGCAUUACUCUCCUGUUCUCAUACCUGGAGUCUGUCUGCCAUACGGGCAUCACUCCCCUAUUCCUGUAAUCUUCUAUUUUCUAUUAAAUAGAAAGUCGUUUUUCGGCUCCCCUUGCCGAUCAGAUCCCGAGUUGUUCAGCCAUUCGGCUAAUCUUUCAGUCGAACUCUGGGCUUCCCCUCUUCAUUCGGCUCAUCCUGCCGAAGCGAAUUUACUGUGGAGGUCUUCGAACCCGGCUGAUUCGAUCCCUCAUCGGCCGAAUCGCUUGAUCCGUCGUGGGCGCAAACUUCGAGGGUCAAAUCCGCGGCCGCGUAUCAUCCCGACGCCCUUCCCGAGGAGAAUACUUGACCGGGUCAAGGGUCGGGACUUUCGGCCGCCAACACAUCCUUAACUAACUAAGUCGAACAAUUAAUAGUCUAUGUCAUGAAUAAAUAGAUGAUGGUUUAUAUCUAGCUACCAUAUCAUUGACGAGUUGACUUGGCCGGGUAUUCCAUUAGUAAACCGAUCUAUUUGUUUUCUUGGACUUCACACUUAGACCAUAAAAAAAAAAAAACUUUUCUUUGCCUUAAGAUAAGUAAACUAGUUAUUUGUAUGUAUUAAAAUGAUAGAAUAUACAUAAGUUGAAUUACUUUUUCUUUUUGUAUAUGAUUUGCACACGGGUGUUGGAAACAAAUAUGUGGACGUUAGAAUUCCGAUAUAUUAAUGGAGUUGACGCCUUAGUUGUUGCAAUGGAACCGGAGCCAAUUAUCUUGGGGUUGCGUCCAGAUACAUAUAUAUUAAUAUUGUAGCUGGUAGCGCAACUUGUUUUAAUUUUUUUGUUUGCUUAGUAAUAACUAAUCCUAUUUAUCUACCAUUUCAGGUCUAGUUCAUUAGAUCUGUUGAGAGAACUAUUGAUGAGGAGUUAACUAGUUGGAUAAUAUGUAUGCAAUUUUUUUGGUAGACACUUGCCUUAUUUAUCUGUUUAAUAAUUUCUUUUUUGAAUUUUUCAGUUAUUUUCUAAACUAUUUUAUUUGGACUAUUGGUUAGACAUAUGCGCUAUUUGAUUAAUCAUUGGAGUUAUUAGUUGAAAUUAAUAUUUGUUUUUAAUAUUGGGUCUUAAUGCCUUCUAUGUUUGAAGUGUUUUAUUUUCAGACACGUACGUUGGAGCGUGAAAUAUGGUUUGUACGUGAAACACGGUUUGGGAUGAAUUGGGUGUGUUAUUUACUUAACAACUGGAGUUGCUAGUCAGAAUUAACAUUUGUGUCUAAUAUUGUCUCGACGGUUUUGGUUGUCAAAGGAUCUGUUCUCUAAACAUGUUAGGAUGCGAAACACGAUUUGAAAUGAACAUGUUUGGGACAUGAAACACAGUUCCAUUAGGGCGAUCAGGUUUGAGGGGUGUGAGACACAGUUCUGUUGGUAGUUAAACACACAUUAGGGUCUGUUUGGUUCUAUUGCUAGUUAAACAUACAAUAGGGUCUGUUUGGUUUGUGUUUUAUAGUAUUACUGGUAAUCUUAAUAUGAUUAAUAAUCUGGUUAUUUGGAUUACUGCUAGUGUCCCAUUAUUUUGUUUGGUUCAGCAAUGUAAUAUCCAAUUACGGCAUAUAUAAGAUUAUUUUGUUUGGUCAUAUUAUAUAUUUCAGUAAUUAUAAUAGUGAAGAUAAUAUUAUUUUGAAAAUAUCCUUAUAUAUUUUAUUUAUAUGAAAUUUAAAUGUAAACUUUGAAUUUAAGUUUAAAUUUAAUUGCAAAUUUUUAAUUUAAAUUUAAAUGUUGGUUCAAAUUUUAAAUUCAAAUUCUGAUUUUAAGUUUGAAUUUUGAAUUCAAAUUUUAAUUUUUAAUUUGAAAUUUUAAUUUAAAUUUAAAUUUUAAUUCAAAUUUUAAAUUUAAAUUAAAACUUAAAUUUUUAAAUUUAAACUUAUUUUUAAAUUUCAAAUUUUUAUUCAAAUUUUCAAUUCAAAGUUUAAAUUCAAAAUUUGAUUGCGAAUUCCAAAUUUAUAUUCAAAUUUAAUUUUUGAAUAUUCAAAUUUUUAAUUUUUAUUUAUCUAAAUUCUAAAUUUGAAUUUAAAUUAUGAAUCAUAUUUCAUUUUAAGUUUAGAUUUAGCAUUACAGGCCCACCAAGCGAAAUGGUUUUUUGGUCACGGCUAGAUAUUUUAAAUUUUAAAUUUAAAUUUAAUUUAAAAUUUUUAAUCUAUAUAAAAAAAUUUAACUCAAAUUUCAAAUUAAAUCAAAAUUUUAAGCUCAAAUUUGAAAUUAAAAUUAAAAUUUUUGUUUGAAUUCAAAAUUUAAAUUUAAAUAUUUUAAGAAUGAGAUAUAAAAAUAUAAAUUUAUUUUCAUUUGAGGUAAUUGGGGUGUGGAGGGUUAAUUUAUAACUUUCUAUAUAUGAGUUGUAUAAUAACCGGCCAUCAGUAAUGCUAGAUACUCACCCACUCUUUGAUAAUAUUUUGGGAUUAUCUCGUGUUACUAGUAAUUAAUGCUGUAUUAUUAAUGGGAUUAUUUCCGGGAUAAACAAAAUAAAAUAAUCUAAAAAAAUUUCUAUAGAAUACUCUGUAAUCCUGCUAAAAUAACGCGAACCAAACAAACCCUUAAAUUAAACAAAGACUUACAUGUUGUAUAUGUAGUGUUCCGGAGUUUUAGAUAGGAUUGGCUACAGUUUUAGUGACUGGUCGACACAUCCGGAGAGUGUUGGACUGAGUCGGAGUUAUUUCUGCACGAAAUAGAUGUAGAAAUGGACUCGGCGCACUCAAAUAAGUAAAACUGAAGUUUUGCUAGUUUCGGGCACUCAGAACUGGAUUUGGGUCACCCAGAACUCGAGUGCUGGUUUGAACAGAAGUGGAAGCCAAUCCGGAUCCUGAUUUCGGGAGCCCACAAGUGGGUCUGAAAAUUCACUUUGUGAAUAUCGCCUGUGCUGACAUGUGUAUGUGGUAGGUGAGUUUUGCCGGACCAUGUUAAAGGUGCAGCACACCGCGGGCGGAGGAACUAAAGGAGAGUAUUUGUGCAGGCUGGAUGUUUCGGACGCCCGGAACAUGGUUCCGGGCGCCUGAAAAGGCCCGUUUCUGUAGGGACAGUAGGUUUGUGUUCUUUAUCCCUGGGGCUUAUCGGACCCUUUCACCUCACUAUAAAUAGCUAGAGUUCGACCCCUGUAAAUCCUUUUCACCUCUUCUUCACAGGGAAAGCCAAAUUAGCACUUUAGCCCCUCAAUUACUCCAAAUUCCACAGUCUCCACCUUGUAGACUGCAGUUCUAGUUGAAUUCCAGCAGCGACCUUCGGCGUUUUGGCCCAUGUGCGACGUAGGAAGUUUCGUUUGCCACAAAAUUUGGUUUGUUGGUUAGAAGACUUCCUGAAGAUUCCGUAGAGCCCAUUUUGACAGCAUUUGAGUGAGAUUAGCAUUAUCAAUUCCAUAUUUUUCUGAGCUAUUGUGAUGUUUGAGCUGAAAUUGACAGUUUUUGGGUUUUCUUGAUGCAAUUUUUGGAGGAAGUUGGAUUUUGGACCAGAGGGUGAUAGGGUGAUACUCCAACAUAGUUCACUGGAUUUGAGACCUUUGCUCACCUGAAUUAGAGAUUGAUAGGUGAGUUUUGAUAUUGGAAUUGGUGGAUUAAGCUUAAGUGCUGAAAUUUAGGAGUUGUAAUGCAAGUUUUGGUGUUUUUCAUGUUUAGAUCUUUGGAGAAGUUUGGUUGCUGAUUCUGAGUGAUUUCGGCUGAUCUCAGCAGGGUUUCCAAUAACUUCGCGACCUCGUUCUGCCGUGGAUUAGCGCUAGAGGUGGUUUAAUGAUGUUUAUCGAAAUUUAUAGGAUUACCUUCUAAGCUUAUAUGUUGUUAGCAUGUGUUUUACCUUUGUUCUUCAUGUUAGUAGCUCAAUUCUAUGAUUAGCAUAAUUCUAAAAUCUGAAUUGGAGUAUAAAAUAUUAGCUAAAAUAUAUAUAUUGGACUUAAAAUUAAUUUAGGAGAAAACUAGCAAUUCUACACCGUCAUUUAUUAAAACUACUAGAUUUAGCUCUAAGAGCCGUAGUUUGUUUGUAUCGCCGCAGUUUGCGAGCGGUGGAUACUCAGGAUAGCGUAGAAUUCAUUUACGCUCGUGCUGGGAUGGCGAGCUUAUUUUACCGUAGUAUAUAGACUGUUCCGGACUGUCGGAUGCCGUUGUGGUUGACGGUAGACCCAGUUUGCAGUUUUUGCAUCGAAUUGUGCUAAGGGCACGUAGAUUAUGGUUGUUAGACUAGUGAGACCUUUCUACUUUGAUUACAGCCUGUGAGAGCCUGCUUGAGCUCGCACUUGCCCCGACACUCUCCAGAGCUGUCUACAAGCCUCUCCUGCUGAACACCAGGGAUACUAUAAUAAAAUUAAACAAAAAUAUUAUAAAGAUAAGGUUUAGAUAAAGCCUAUGGAUCGAGGCGUAUAGAGCACUGUUCUAGAAGCGAAAUUGCCCCUCCACGUGUGAGGCUUCCCGGCAAUUACUCCUAACGAUACAAUGACCAUGUUUCACCCCGUCGGCACGCUUCCAAGGUGGUGCAAGACGAACUCAGCAGGCUUCAAAUCCAGCAAAAGAAAACUCGGGGAAAAUCGAAAACUCGGCGGAAAAAAUUAAUGGCGAAAAAGCAGGAAAAGACGGGAGGGUAUAGGUAUGCUCGGUUUCUUCUUUAACUCGUGCAACCUCGCCCAAUAUUUAUAACCAAGGCGAGAAUCUUGUUCCAACACGUCAAAUCCGAGUAGAACAAGUGUGAGAUCCCUGGUGUCUGGUUGUGGGGGCUUGUCGACAGCUCUGGUGAGUGUCGGGACAAGUCCGAGUCGCGUUGGCGUCAAAGAGACGCAAAACGGACUCCGUGCGACGCGAGAGCAGCCUUCAGCGAAGAAAUCUGCAAAAUAGCAGAUUUUCCUGCUGGCUGUACCGGUACAGCCAGCGAGGUGUACCGGUACGCUAUACUGGCCGAGCGCGUACUGCUCUCGGGUUAGCUUCCUGUACCGGUACGCGAUCCCGUGUACCGGUACGCCAGGGUAGGUGAGGGGCUUUUUAGUAAUAUCACCUUGCCUUGUUUGUAUCACCAUUCCAUCCCUUACUUUAUACGUGUAGGAGCAGAGAGAGAGAGAGCUAUUUGCUGCCCAUUUCCUUCUCUCUCUCCCUAGCAUUGAUCGAAUAGGUGGAGUUCGGUUGGAGCUCGGAUUCGACACCGACGUUGCGCCGCGAAGCCGUUCGGGGAUACGGUUGGGAUCGUAGCGCUGCGAGGAAGCUAGGCGAGGGUGCGUUGUUGCCGUUCUCGACGCCGUGUCGCUGAUCGAUUAGCCGUUGAGGUGAGCGUUCCGUGCGUUGCUUCAAGUAUUGACAUUUCGAGCUAAGUGCUGUUUUCGCAGAAUUUCACCGUCGACUGUUGGUAUUUUGGCUCGUUCUCGACGUAGGAGCAUCGGAUUGUGACGAGACUUGGCUCGUUGGAUUCGGGACUUCGAGAGGAAUCCACAGAGCCCUCACUUGCAAUUUUUGGUCAAGGUUAGCAGGGUCGAAAUCAUGCUCUUCUCAGCUGCUGUGAUCGGGGACUGAAUUGUGAAUUUUUGUCGUUUUAGCUUGGCGUUGGCUUGGCGACCGGACUUGGAGAUCCCCGAUUGAUCCAGCGGAGUUCCUUUUAGGCCGAGGCUUCGUUUGCUGCCAGGAGAUAGCACUUUAGGUGGGUUACAUCGGUUCGACUCCUAAGUUCAUAAUCGUCGACAUGUAUAGAUCUCUAUUUUGGUAAUCUAGUUUGGCUCAAAUUCUUGAAUGAUUUUAGAUUGGUAAAAUCUGAAUUCUCGAGCAUGUUUCAUAAUUUAAAUAGAUUAUACAUGUUGGACUUGGAAAUUGAAUUAGGAGAAAACCUGCGAUUUGGACCUGUCACCAGUUUUAACUACCUGAUUUAGCUCUAGGAGCCGUNN
rnacentral:lncRNA from 1 species